rnacentral:rRNA from 1 species
UACGGCUCAGUAACACGUGGACAACCUAACCUACAGAGGGGGAUAACCCCGGGAAACUGGGGAUAAUACCCCAUAGACUAUGGAUGCUGGAAUGCUUCGUAGUUGAAAGGUCCGCCGCUGUAGGAUGGGUCUGCGGCCGAUUAGGUUGUUGUUGGGGUAACGGCCCAACAAGCCUGUAAUCGGUACGGGUUGUGGGAGCAAGAGCCCGGAGAUGGAUUCUGAGACACGAAUCCAGGCCCUACGGGGCGCAGCAGGCGCGAAAACUUUGCAAUGCGGGAAACCGUGACAAGGGAACUCUGAGUGCCCGUUAAAUCGGGCUGUCCAUCGGUUUAAAUAACCGGUGAAGAAAGGGCCGGGCAAGACCGGUGCCAGCCGCCGCGGUAAUACCGGCGGCUCGAGUGGUGGCCACUAUUACUGGGCUUAAAGCGUUCGUAGCUGGUUUGUUAAGUCUCUGGGGAAAUCUUCCGGCUUAACCGGAAGGCGUCUCAGGGAUACUGGCAGACUAGGGACCGGGAGAGGUGAGAGGUACUCCAGGGGUAGGAGUGAAAUCCUGUAAUCCUUGGGGGACCACCUGUGGCGAAGGCGUCUCACCAGAACGGCUCCGACAGUGAGGGACGAAAGCUGGGGGAGCAAACCGGAUUAGAUACCCGGGUAGUCCCAGCUGUAAACGAUGCGCGUUAGGUGUAUCGGUGACCACGAGUCACCGAGGUGCCGAAGAGAAAUCGUGAAACGUGCCGCCUGGGAAGUACGGUCGCAAGGCUGAAACUUAAAGGAAUUGGCGGGGGAGCAC